UAGUCAUAUGCUUGUCUCAAAGAUUAAGCCAUGCAUGUCCAAGUAUAAACCAAUUUGUACGGUGAAACUGCGAAUGGCUCAUUAUAUCAGUUAUUGUUUAUUUGAUGAUACCUUGCCACAUGGAUAACCGUGGUAAUUCUAGAGCUAAUACAUGCACGAAACCCCGACUUUUGGAAGGGGUGUAUUUAUUAGGUAAAAGCCAACCCGGGGCAACCCGGCCGCUGGUGAUUCAUGAUAACUUUGCGAACCGCAUGCCCUUGCGGCGGCGGUGGAUCAUU
rnacentral:rRNA from 1 species